GCGUUUAUAACUCAAUUGGAUAGAGUUUCGGAUUUCGGUCCCGACGGUUAUAGGUUCAAAUCCUAUUAGACGUA